GAACUGAAGAGUUUGAUCAUGGCUCAGAUUGAACGCUGGCGGCAGGCCUAACACAUGCAAGUCGAGCGGUAGAGAGAAGCUUGCUUCUCUUGAGAGCGGCGGACGGGUGAGUAAUGCCUAGGAAUCUGCCUGGUAGUGGGGGAUAACGUUCGGAAACGGACGCUAAUACCGCAUACGUCCUACGGGAGAAAGCAGGGGACCUUCGGG
rnacentral:rRNA from 1 species